AACAACAUAGUUUAAUUUUAGAUGAUUGCUUUGCGUGCAGUAGGUGGGAUAUUUCUCUGUUGUUG
rnacentral:tRNA from 1 species